AACGAACGCUGGCGGCAUGCCUAACACAUGCAAGUCGAACGAGACCUUCGGUCUAGUGGCGCACGGGUGCGUAACGCGUGGGAAUCUGCCCUUGGGUUCGGAAUAACAGCGAGAAAUUGCUGCUAAUACCGGAUGAUGACGUAAGUCCAAAGAUUUAUCGCCCAAGGAUGAGCCCGCGUAGGAUUAGCUAGUUGGUGAGGUAAAGGCUCACCAAGGCGACGAUCCUUAGCUGGUCUGAGAGGAUGAUCAGCCACACUGGGACUGAGACACGGCCCAGACUCCUACGGGAGGCAGCAGUGGGGAAUAUUGGACAAUGGGCGAAAGCCUGAUCCAGCAAUGCCGCGUGAGUGAUGAAGGCCUUAGGGUUGUAAAGCUCUUUUACCCGGGAUGAUAAUGACAGUACCGGAGAUAAGCUCCGGCUAACUCCGUGCCAGCAGCCGCGGUAAU
rnacentral:rRNA from 1 species